GCUGGGCAUGGUGGCGCAGGCCUGUAAUCCCAGCAGCUCAGGAAGCCGAAGCAGGAGGAUCGCCAAGUUCAAAGCCAGUCUCAGCAAGGGUGAAGCACUGAACAACUCAGUGAGACCCUAUCUCUA
rnacentral:sRNA from 1 species